rnacentral:misc_RNA from 1 species
GAUGAAGAACGAAGCGAAAUGCGAUAAGUAAUGUGAAUUGCAGAAUUCAGUGAAUCAUCGAAUCUUUGAACGCACAUUGCGCCCUCUGGUAUUCCGGGGGGCAUGCCUGUUCGAGCGUCAUUAUAACCACUCAAGCUCUCGCUUGGUAUUGGGGUUCGCGGUUCCGCGGCCCCUAAAAUCAGUGGCGGUGCCUGUCGGCUCUACGCGUAGUAAUACUCCUCGCGAUUGAGUCCGGUAGGUCUACUUGCCAGCAACCCCCAAUUUUUACAGGUUGACCUCGGAUCAGGCAGGGAUACCCGCUGAACUUAAGCAUAUCAAUAAGCGGAGGA